rnacentral:lncRNA from 1 species
AACAUAAAUAUUUUGGGUUAGUGAUCUAAAUCAAUCGACUUGUGAUGAUUAUUAGACAUGAUGAAAGACUCAAGGAAGAAAAACUAUCCUUCCACUAACCAAAAGAGCACAUUGGUAUCAUAUGAUAUUAGACAUGGCGAAAGACUUAGAGAAGAAAAGACUAUCAUUUGACGAACAAAAGAAAACACAUUACGACUUAAAACCACCACUAGAUUAGACCCUCUUAAGUGAAGGCAUUAUAACACAGAUUUAAUCCUAUUCCAUAAGUAGAUAAAGUCACAAAACGACUUGUAAGAAUGAUAUACUAUUUUAUCAUGGACUUAGCUGGUUUACCUAAGUCAUGCGGCAUCUUUGUGUAUCUGUCCACAAAGGAUCAACCUCCCCGACAUCUCUUAUGAUCUCUUUAGGACUUACAAAAGAGAAAAUGAGUUAGAAAAAAUGUUUAACUCAGGAUCCACAACUAGUCAUUUCAAUAAACACUUGAUAGACAAAACAAAUUACAACUUCGCAAGCUUUGAACGAUUGUGCGACAAAAGGUGAACGAUUGUGCGACAAAAGGUCUAAGGUGAUUUGCUGCAGUCAAAAAUACCCACAAGUGCCCACAUGACAUUGUUGUGAAACAAGAUAGUGAACUAACCUAGACUAUUCAGAGCUUAUGAAGUUAUGUUUGUAAUUUACAUUAUUUAUCAAGUGUUUACUGAAA